GUAGGUGGCAAGCGUUGUCCGGAAUUAUUGGGCGUAAAGCGCGCGCAGGCGGGUCCUUUAAGUCUGAUGUGAAAGCCCACGGGCUCAACCGUGGAGGGUCAUUGGAAACUGGGGGACUUGAGUACAGAAGAGGAAAGCGGAAUUCCAAGUGUAGCGGUGAAAUGCGUAGAGAUUUGGAGGAACACCAGUGGCGAAGGCGGCUUUCUGGUCUGUAACUGACGCUGAGGCGCGAAAGCGUGGGGAGCAAACAGGAUUAGAUACCCUGGUAGUCCACGCCGUAAACGAUGAGAGCUAAGUGUUAGGGGGUUUCCGCCCCUUAGUGCUGCAGCUAACGCAUUAAGCACUCCGCCUGGGGAGUACGGCCGCAAAGGCUG
rnacentral:rRNA from 1 species